rnacentral:rRNA from 1 species
UACGAAGGGGGCUAGCGUUGCUCGGAAUUACUGGGCGUAAAGCGCACGUAGGCGGCUUGUUAAGUCAGGGGUGAAAUCCUGGAGCUCAACUCCAGAACUGCCUUUGAUGACUGGCGAGCUUGAGUUCGGGAGAGGUGAGUGGAACUGCGAGUGUAGAGGUGAAAUUCGUAGAUAUUGGGAAGAACACCGGUGGCGAAGGCGGCUCACUGGCCCGUUACUGACGCUCAGGCGCGACAGCGUGGGGAUCAAACAGG